rnacentral:rRNA from 1 species
GCCGCGUGCAGGAUGACGGCCCUACGGGUUGUAAACUGCUUUUAUACAGGAAGAAACACCCCGACGUGUCGGGGCUUGACGGUACUGUAAGAAUAAGGAUCGGCUAACUCCGUGCCAGCAGCCGCGGUAAUACGGAGGAUUCGAGCGUUAUCCGGAAUCAUUGGGUUUAAAGGGUCCGCAGGCGGUUUUUUAAGUCAGAGGUGAAAUCCUGCAGCUCAACUGUAGAAUUGCCUUUGAUACUGAAAGACUUGAGUUAUUGUGAAGUGGUUAGAAUGUGUGGUGUAGCGGUGAAAUGCAUAGAUAUCACACAGAAUACCGAUUGCGAAGGCAGAUCACUAACAAUAUACUGACGCUCAGGGACGAAAGCGUGGGUAGCGAACAGGAUUAGAUACCCUGGUAGUCCACGCCGUAAACGAUGGAUACUAGCUGUAUGUCUACUUCAGGUAGAUGUGUGGCCAAGCGAAAGUGAUAAGUAUCCCAC